GUAAGAGUGGAAAAGAGGAAAGGGUGAGGUAAUGAGAGAGGGCUAGAGUAUGAGUGGAAAAGAGGAAAGGGUGAGGUAAUGAGAGAGGGCUAGAGUAAGAGUGGAAAAGAGGAAAGGGUGAGGUAAUGAGAGAGGGCUAGAGUAAGAGUGGAAAAGAGGAAAGGGUGAGGUAAUGAGAGAGGGCUAGAGUAAGAGUGGAAAAGAGGAAAGGGUGAGGUAAUGAGAGAGGGCUAGAGUAAGAGUGGAAAAGAGGAAAGGGUGAGGUAAUGAGAGAGGGCUAGAGUAAGAGUGGAAAAGAGGAAAGGGUGAGGUAAUGAGAGAGGGCUAGAGUAAGAGUGGAAAAGAGGAAAGGGUGAGGUAAUGAGAGAGGGCUAGAGUAUGAGUGGAAAAGAGGAAAGGGUGAGGUAAUGAGAGAGGGCUAGAGUAAGAGUGGAAAAGAGGAAAGGGUGAGGUAAUGAGAGAGGGCUAGAGUAAGAGUGGAAAAGAGGAAAGGGUGAGGUAAUGAGAGAGGGCUAGAGUAAGAGUGGAAAAGAGGAAAGGGUGAGGUAAUGAGAGAGGGCUAGAGUAAGAGUGGAAAAGAGGAAAGGGUGAGGUAAUGAGAGAGGGCUAGAGUAUGAGUGGAAAAGAGGAAAGGGUGAGGUAAUGAGAGAGGGCUAGAGUAAGAGUGGAAAAGAGGAAAGGGUGAGGUAAUGAGAGAGGGCUAGAGUAUGAGAUGGAAAGAGAAAGGGUGAGGGAAUGAGAGAGGGCUAGAGUAUGAGUGGAAAAGAGGAAAGGGUGAGGUAAUGAGAGAGGGCUAGAGUAUGAAUGGAAAAGUGGAAAGGAUGAGGGAAUGAGAGAGGGCUAGAGUAUGAGUGGAAAAGAGGAAAGGGUGAGGUGAUGAGAGAGGGCUAGAGUAUGAGAUGGAAAGAGAAAGGGUGAGGUAAUGAGAGAGGGCUAGAGUAUGAGAUGGAAAGAGAAAGGGUGAGGUAAUGAGAGAGGGCUAGAGUAUGAGUGGAAAAGAGGAAAGGAUGAGGGAAUGAGAGAGGGCUAGAGUAUGAGUGGAAAAUAGGAAAGGAAAACGGAGGGAGAGAAUGAAAGAGAGACCCCAUCUUCUGCCUAUAAUGUCAGUUCUCGCCUGGCUCAGACAAAAGUGAGAGCAGGGCCGUCAUGUGACAAAGUCACCUUGUGUUCUUACUUAAUGAUACACCCUUCCUCAGCAUCCUGAGCCUGGCCCACAGCUACAUCAUCAGACUGCAUUUGGCCCAGCACUUUCUAAUUGGUUUAAUACAUUGUUGGGACACAAAAGCGAUGAAAAGAGGGACUAACUUGCCUUGCAUCAUAAUUAGUCACUUUCUCAUCAGAGUGCUGCAGGUUGUGUGUGUGUAUGUGUGUGUGUCUUGACCAAUCAGAUUCAUGGCACAGUUCACGUGGGUCGGGCAUGGCACACGUCUAUAGAAAGCAGAGCACUCUCUCCACUUUCCUCUGGUAUUAUUUUACCAAACCGGAAAAGAACUCCCAACAGGAAAGCAAAAACUCUUUAUAGAAAUGUUGUAGCAGCCUAGACCUAAACAUUAGCGCUCUGAAAUGCUGAAUCAUUCUGAUCAACUGUAGACCUAGCCUCUAUGCGCCCUGUCCCAUCUGGCUAGGAGAAACAAAGUGGUAAGGUUAUGUAUUUAGUAUUUAUUGAGAUCCCCAUUAAGCCGCUG